rnacentral:rRNA from 1 species
GAUGAACGCUGGCGGCGUGCCUAAUACAUGCAAGUCGAGCGAACGGACGAGAAGCUUGCUUCUCUGAUGUUAGCGGCGGACGGGUGAGUAACACGUGGAUAACCUACCUAUAAGACUGGGAUAACUUCGGGAAACCGGAGCUAAUACCGGAUGAUAUUUUGAACCGCAUGGUUCAAAAGUGAAAGACGGUCUUGCUGUCACUUAUAGAUGGAUCCGCGCUGCAUUAGCUAGUUGGUAAGGUAACGGCUUACCAAGGCAACGAUGCAUAGCCGACCUGAGAGGGUGAUCGGCCACACUGGAACUGAGACACGGUCCAGACUCCUACGGGAGGCAGCAGUAGGGAAUCUUCCGCAAUGGGCGAAAGCCUGACGGAGCAACGCCGCGUGAGUGAUGAAGGUCUUCGGAUCGUAAAACUCUGUUAUUAGGGAAGAACAUAUGUAUAAGUAACUGUGCACAUCUUGACGGUACCUAAUCAGAAAGCCACGGCUAACUACGUG